CAGUCACAUGCUGUGCUCAAACCACUUAACAGUCUGCUUCAGCUCUAAAACCUCAGGCCUGAUCUGUCAUCUCUAGUCUGAUGAAUUUUAAACAGGGAAAGUUUAAGCUGUGGGACUGAGAUUGUCCAAGUAGUUACUUGGAAUACCCUGGGAAAUGCAUGGAAAGACUCUAACAGACUUACAUCUAAGCUGCAUUUGGAUUCUAACCUUUUGAGAUGAUUCCAGAGAGACUUUUGCAAACCAGUAGACUCAUCCAUCACUGCUACAAAUCUGAUAUAAGGACUUGCAAGCUUUUGUAAUUGGUCAUGGAUGAGAACCAGAUUUAGACAAAGUUUACUUACUAGACUGCUGAUAUACAGUUCCACGAAGCAGCUAUUUACCAGGAACCCCUCAAAGUCCACUACCAAGAGGGCUGCAAGAAUAUCCCAGUUCUGCAUGUAAACUAAGCAUUGUAAGUCAGUACAAUGGAAACUCCAUUUACCUACAAAGUCAACAGUGGAAUGUGAAAUCAACAGGGAGGCAGCACAGGAUUAUCCUGACUCUGGAUACAGACAAUGAAUUUUGGGGGAAAUACAAGAAGGAAAGAAAGACAUCCUUUUAUCCUGCACCUAAGAAGUAAUUUGGCAGUGAAGUUAAAGCCAUGAAGAUAGGAUCAUAACCUGCCCUGGCUGAAAUGCUACAGAGAACAUUUGAAGUGAGAAACUUUUAGACAGAAGUUUAGCCCCUAGAAAUAGUUUUAUGAUUUUGUUUUAUAUGUAACCCAUUUGUUUCCAUAAUUCUUACUAUCUCUGAAUUUUGGUAAUAAACGUAUCAUUGUUCUCACUAUAAAUAUCUCAGUACUAUGAUGUUGUUCAGUGACCUGAUCCUGAAUUGAAUCAUUCAAGCUAGUGUGUUCACUGUUCCCUUGUGGACAGCAGACCUGGUAUUUGUAUGAGUGUUCAGUGAAUAAUGGGCAGGACACUGCAGGGGAACACUUCAAAGGGUCUUGGAAAGCGAGUUAGUUUUCCUGUCUUUCCUUGCUUUUGGUUGCUGUAUGUGUCUGUUUUAUCAUUUGCUAUAUGUAGUUGUUUUUAUAGCUUACU